CUUCUUUUAAUGCUGCUGUAGGCUCGUAAGGGCCUGGAGGACUUGAUAACUGGCUUUCAGACAACACGGACUGCAAAGGAACACCAACAUCAGCAGCGUGGGAGUGAAAGCAAGGAAGUGAAGAAGCUGGCCAAGAUGAAAUGCCGAUCAGAAGCGCUUCUGGACGAAACGCGGGGAAGAAACGUCGCACUGGAGGAAGAACGUACCAGGUUGAAGAUGCUUCUGGAGGGACUUCAGACAAAGCUGAUGGCAUAUGCGGGGAGAAAGAGAGAGUCCCAGCUCAGUUCCCAGGGGGAGAUGAAGAACAGCUGUUCUGAGGUGGCCAACGAAGUUGGUAAACAAAGAAGAAGAAAGGUGAGCUCUGGUUUGUUUGGUGGAUUUGAGGCGAUUGUUUUUUUCUGCUGGAACCUGUACGAUUCUUUUCCUAUACUUUUUUUCCGUGCUGCUAAUUAUCUGUUGGCUGUAUUUUGCAAUCGACUGACUUCUCUUGAGGCUCCUGCUGCUGUUGUAGCAGUAGAUUGGUGAUGAUGGUGAUGAACACGGAGGUAGUUACCGUGAUGGGUAAAAACCAUGAGCCAGGAGUCCCAGCAGGGCUGCUGAGCUCAAUGGCCUCACCGGCCAGGACGCGGUCCCAGGGGCCCCGAGCAAGAAGAAGCAGAGCUGGUCACCAUACAUCAAGAUUUUAAUACGUUUGAAUACUCUGUCAGCAGGUGACGAAUGCAGUCUCGAUGGACCCCCACCUUACGGAUUGCCACAGAAGUGAGUAACUUUAGAGCUCUCUCUUUGAGUUCCUUUUGUUUUGCUGCCUACAAGUUGGUGACAUUUCCCAACAGGUGGAGAUGCAGUCAAAAAAACGCAUGCGGCGGGCAACAUAAACCCAGGACCUGCGAGAAAAGUUGUCCACUCCGCGUGGGACUCGGGAAGAACCAGGGCAGAACCAGGGCUUAACCUCAGAAGCCGUUGGGAGACUAGCAUGGUGGGUCACAGCCAACUACAGCAGCCUAAAAGAGAGAUGGGAGAAAGAGCUGGGCAAGAAAUAAGGCAAAACCCACAAGAAGUUGAUCCCUAUGUCCAUGUAACGCAAUUUUCCACAUGUGUCUGUAGCCCAAAGGCUGCAAGUUUGUUGUUGACACAUUUUGCGUGUUUGGUUUUCGGUAUCUGGAUCUGCGCGUUAGUGCUGUACUUCCAGGACCCGCUUUCCAGUGCCGCCUUUGGCCCAGCCUGCUGUAAAACUAACACACAGCCUUUUCUUUUCCUGCCCUUCCACAGUCGCAGCUGAACCUCCAACACGGUUAGCGAUGAGGAGAUGCUGGAG